rnacentral:rRNA from 1 species
GACGAACGCUGGCGGCGUGCUUAACACAUGCAAGUCGAACGGAAAGGCCCUGCUUUUGUGGGGUGCUCGAGUGGCGAACGGGUGAGUAACACGUGAGUAACCUGCCCUUGACUUUGGGAUAACUUCAGGAAACUUGGGCUAAUACCGGAUAGGAGCUCCUGCUGCAGGGUGGGGGUGGGAAAGUUUCGGCGGUUGGGGAUGGACUCGCGGCUUAUCAGCUUGUUGGUGGGGUAGUGGCUUACCAAGGCUUUGACGGGUAGCCGGCCUGAGAGGGUGACCGGCCACAUUGGGACUGAGAUAAGGCCCAGACUCCUACGUGAGGCAGCAGUGGGGAAUAUUGCACAAUGGGCGGAAGCCUGAUGCAGCAACGCCGCGUGCGGGAUGACGGCCUUCGGGUUGUAAAACGCUUUCGCCUGUGACGAAGCGUGAGUGACGGUAAUGGGUAAAGAAGCACCGGCUAACUACGUG